CCUACGGGUGGCAGCAGUGGGGAAUAUUGCACAAUGGGCGAAAGCCUGACGCAGCAACGCCGCGUGAAGGAUGACGGCCUUCGGGUUGUAAACUUCUGUUCUUAGGGAAGAAAAAUGACGGUAGCUACAGAGGAAGCAACGGCUAACUCCGUGCCAGCAGCCGCGGUAAUACGGAGGGGGCAAGCGUUGUCCGGAAUUACUGGGGGUAAAGGGAUCGCAGGUGGGAAGUUAAGUCAGCUGUGAAAUCGAGGGGCUCAACUUCUAGUCUGCAGUGGAUACUGGUAAUCUUGAGUGCAGUAGAGGUAGGCGGAAUUCCGGGUGUAGCGGUGAAAUGCGUAGAUAUCAGGAGGAACACCGGUGGCGAAGGCGGUUUACUGGGCUGUAAUUGACACUGAGGAUCGAAAGUGGGGGUAGCAAAUAGGAUUAGAUACCCGUGUAGUC
rnacentral:rRNA from 1 species